GACGAACGCUGGCGGCGUGCUUAACACAUGCAAGUCGAACGGAAAGGCCCUGCUUUUGUGGGGUGCUCGAGUGGCGAACGGGUGAGUAACACGUGAGUAACCUGCCCUUGACUUUGGGAUAACUUCAGGAAACUGGGGCUAAUACCGGAUAGGAGCUCCUGCUGCAUGGUGGGGGUUGGAAAGUUUCGGCGGUUGGGGAUGGACUCGCGGCUUAUCAGCUUGUUGGUGGGGUAGUGGCUUACCAAGGCUUUGACGGGUAGCCGGCCUGAGAGGGUGACCGGCCACAUUGGGACUGAGAUACGGACCAGACUGCUACGGGAGGCAGCAGUGGGGAAUAUUGCACAAUGGGCGGAAGCCUGAUGCAGCAACGCCGCGUGCGGGAUGACGGCCUUCGGGUUGUAAACCGCUUUCGCCUGUGACGAAGCGUGAGUGACGGUAAUGGGUAAAGAAGCACCGGCUAACUACGUG
rnacentral:rRNA from 1 species